UUUGUUCAUUCUCCUUCCUACAUGAAGGAAUAUGGAUGUAAUGGCUGGAGGGGUAGCAGUGAUCAUGACACGAAGAUGAUGAACUUUUGUGCAUGUUCAGGUGGUGGAGUAGAAACUGCACUGGAGCCCAAUUCCUUUAUGUCACCCUUAAGAAACUGUUACAUCUCAAGAUUACUGUGAUUACUGUACCCAACUUCUUCUUCUUCUUCUUCUUUUUUUUUUUUUUUGGACAGGCAGAGUUAGAGAGAGAGAGAGAUACAGAGAGAAAGGUCUUCCUUCAACUUCUUAUUAAACAAGAAAAAUCCUAGUUUUUAAAGCCACUAUUUCUUGGCACUUUUGGCCCUUACAACUGCAUGUAAUACAUUUGUCCAAAGUUAUAUACAUAAUAAGUGGGGGAUCUUGGUUUCAAACCAGGCUUAUUAGUAUCUAAAUAUUGUGCCUCUUACUAAAGAAUGUGGAGAAUCAUGGACAAAUAUUACAGCUCAAUUCUUCUGAACAGAGAUCUCCCUUAUUAACUCUUUAGUUGCCCUCUGAUCCACUUUGUACCAAGCAGGCAGGAUAAAUGCUUGAUUUGUAAGCCAGCUCCCCCUGUCCAAGGCCACGUGGUCCCAAAUAACAGCCUGGGAUUAGCACACAUCACCGGCACCUCCUCUGGCAGGGAACGAAAUGCCGCUGGCCCCACAUAAUGAGCUGAUGAAAUACACAAGCUUUUUCUUGCUCCUUGUCAAAUGAUUUCCAACCUUUCUGCACAAGAAGCCUCUUUUAUUAACUCCUCGCAAAAUACAACAUGUUUUGAAAGAUUUUGUCAGGCAAACUCUACUUAAUAAUAAAUAUUUGAUUCACUUCCCCAUUUGAAUUUAAUCAAAUGCGCACAUAACCUCCAAUCCUAGUUUCUGCUCUGCAUGACCAGUGUGAGCACGCUGAGGCUGUUGUAAUUUGAGUAGAGAAUGAGAAUACUUUGGUUUGUCUAUACAGAUUUCAAUUUUAUUGGGAUUUCAAGGAUAAUAGGAAAGUCCUGACUCCUCUGGUCUCUUUUGAAGACUGUGUGUCUGUGGUCUCUGGUGCCAGCCUAGGCUGUGGAGGGUGGUCCCGGUUCUAGAAUGUAUGGUCCACAUUUCAGGAAGUCACGAUCAAAGAGACUUUAGAAGGAGGAUGGAUUUGAUUCUGUUGCAGCUUCUUCUUGGUGUGCUGCACACUGUUUCAGAGCGAGGCUGACGCUGUGAUCACCUUGGUUGUCCUAGGCAUACCUCCCACCUGAAGUUUCAGCUACACGUGGCCCUGAAAGCCGUGUCCACACAGGUAAUCAGUCUUACUGCUUUGUUUCCCAUCGGUUGUCCUGUAGCCUUUUCCUCUAUCCCUUAUCAUGCUUGUCACAUUCAUGAUAGUUGAGUUCUGUUUGGACAACCUCUUCUGAGCACUUGUCAGGAGCCAACAUAGCCUUAGAUGCCAGGCUAUACUGAUAACUAAGAUCCCUUAUUUAUGAUUGGCUUUCUGCUCUGGUUUCUGGUUGAUAAUCAUUUGAAAACUGGACUUAAGCCCCAACAGAGUUUAUGAGACAUAAGAUAGCUAAUACUAGUCUCCUUCUACCUUCUACUGGAAUUGAAGACCUCUUGUUUCACCUCUAGUUGCUGAUGGGCUUCUGCUAUGGCCCUGACAGAAUCUUCACCCUCUCAACAUUGUAGAUCCUGCCUUUCUGCUGAGGGUAUCCUUGCUGUUCCAUCCUUCCUACCAGAUUGAGUUUCUUUGUGUCCCUCUCCUUUGAACCCUCAGUCUCUCUAGUCUAUAAAUAUUUAAAAGGCCAAGGUUUCAUUCAUGUCAGUUUCAGAGCCCCUGGAACACAGCAUAGUGGUGGCAGAUAUUGAUCAUUACUGUUGGUUGAUGAGUGCAGAUGAGUGAAUUUGAAUUGAAUCAAAGUGAGGAGAGGUGAGGUGUUAAGGGGGAGUCUGGCCAUGAUAGAGCUGAACUAUGAUGGACAUUGAAGCCACUUGUGGUGAUGCGGGAUGCAAGGGAAUCUGUGGGUGAGAUAUCGCUGUUGUCAUGAGGCCAUCCCAGGAUGAGUAAUAACUAAGUGGUGAUUUGUGAUAACAGUGGUGGAGACAGAGUCUGGUGUCGCUGGGGGACCUGAGCCAAAAAAGGAGAGGGGCUUUGAUGUUAGGAGCAUAAUGCAAUUGGCAGAGACACUGGGAGCCUGUGUGCUGACCACAGCUCUGUGGAACACAGAGGGGGAUGCAUUGAGAGUGGGCAGAUUCCACUUGAAAUGACUGCGAAGGAAAUGGGAUUAACAGAAAACAGCUCGUUCUCAGGUAAGGCAAGGCCGUUGUGGGGCAACACACGGUGUUGAGUAAUAGCACUGCAAUGGCUGCAGAGACUGUGCCUCAGCCACGCUAGACCCCAGAAUCGCUGCCUGCCUCAGCUCCCUCCACCCUGAGUGGAGCCGCUGCUGGCUUUGGCUCUGCCCCACCCGCCCACAUCCUCUCUGACAGUCCUCCUGCCCCCACCAUAGCUUUGUCUUUGAUAGCUGCCCCAGAAUCCCGCUACUUCUCUCCUCUGGGGAAGGCAGACCUCAAAAGGCAGCUCUUGCAGCUCUCCACCUCUACUUAUCUUCCCAGCCAGGACUUUAACUUAAUUUACUUCCUGACAUUUCACACUGAUAUGCAGGAACUCAUCAGUGGAGUUCUAAGUGUACACAUGACUCACGGGUUUUUUGAAGAAUGUGUGGAGGAGGGAGGACAAAAAAAUCAAGAAAAAAUGAGACGAAGAGGAUUUUAGUCAUGUAAGUCAUGAAAGAGCCUACCAGGCCUGCUUUGGUUUUGUUUGUUUUAGAAAAUGACUGGAGGCCAUGAUGUUUGAACUUUUCCAUUGUCGGAUCUGCUGAGAAUUCAAGCAGGGCUGACCCCUGGAGAUUUCUCUCUUCAGCUCCUGAGAUGGAAAGAAUGAAAGUCUGAAUCUUAUUAACCAGAUCCACAGGACUUGGACUGAAAGAAAUAUGAAAACACAAUUUCACGUUCAAGCCUGGGAAGGAAAAAUAACUUCAGAGUGAACCAGAUGUACUUUGGAAUUCCUUGAGCGGCCGCACAGCAAGACCUAGGCAGCAUGUGAAUGUGUGACUGAGAGUGUGUGUGAGCAUGAGGGAGAGUGUGUGAUUAUGUGUGUGUGAUUGUGUGCAUGAGUGAGAGAGAGUGUGUGUGUGUGUGUGUAUGUGUGAAUUGUGUGUGAAUGAGAGUGUGUGGUUGUGAGUGGUGUGUUUUAGUGGUGUUUGUGAGUGGGUGUGCGAGAGUGGUGUAUGUAUGUGUGUGAUAUGUGCAUUCAUGAGAGCAUGUGUGAGUGUGUGAGAAUGUGGGAGUGAGUGUACAUGUGUGUGAGAGUGGUGUGUGUGAUUCUAUGCAUAUUUGUGAGAAUGUGUGUGUGUGUGUGAGCGUUUGUAAAAGUGAGUUAAGCAUAGAGAUGUGUGACCUUUUGUGAGUGAAUGCGUGUGUGCAUGUGGUCAUCUGGAUGGAAAACUGGUUCUAAAAUUUUCACAAGGUCCUUUUUUAUUACCAAACUGACCAAAAAGUGUUAAAUGACCUUUGAAGAUGGAGCUUCCUUUUUACAGAAUGGGUCAUUCUGUGACAUGUUUCCUCGCCUUGGUCCCUGCCAGGAGAGGAUCUUCCUUUAUCUCUGUCUAAUUAAAAUGACUUGCGAGCAUUUUCCUACAAGCAAAGGCUCUGUCUUCCCUCAUCGAGCGAUUCAAGCCUCCCCAUCAGAAGCAGCAGAAGAAUUCCCGGCAGCUUUCAAGUGCCAGGCACAUGUUUCUGGCUGUCAAGCUUUCCAAAUGUGUGCAGGCAGUUGCGGCUGGAGCACCCUCGAUCACACCCACCACCCUCUCCCUCUCCGGUGUCUUUAGGGUUACUGAUAUUUCUCAUGAGAGUGCUAAAUUCUUAAAACUGAGGACCCCAUGUGACUGCAAUUACUAACUGAAAACUGUGGUUUCCACAAGGGUUCACUAUCUGUGGAGUGGUUCUGUGAGUUUUGGCCAAUGCAUAUUGUCACGUCUCCAUCAUUGCACAUAGGAUAGUUUCACUGCCUGUGUUACCCCUACCCUUGAACUCCUGGAAGCCUCUGAACUUUUUACUAUCUAUUUCAUUUUGCCUUUUCCAGUAUGCCAUAAAGUCAAUCACAAACUUUAUAACUCACUUCUUGUACUUAAAAAUUUGUGUUUGAGGGUCUUCUGAGUCUUUUCUUUUAAUCAUUGUGUAAUAUUCAUUGUAUAGAUGCCACAAGUCCCUUUAUCUACUCGCUGACUGGAAACAGUGUGGUUGCUUCCAGCUUUUGGCAGUUAUGAAUAAAGCUAUCAACAUUCAUGCACAUGUUUUUGAACAAACUUAAGUUUCCGGAGCAUUUGAGAAAACACUUAGGAGCGUGACUGCUGAGUUGUGUGGUAAGAGUAUCUUUAGUUUUGUAAGAAACUGGAAACGUGUCUUCCUAUGUGAUUGUACCAUUUGUGUCUCUACCAGAAAUGAGUUAGAGUUCCUGUUGUCCCACACCCUUGCUAGCAUUUUGUGUUGUGCUGUUAGCAUUUGAAAUUUUAGCCAUUUUCAUAAGUAUAUUGAGUUGUCUUAUAUACUUCUGCUGAUGCUCUCAUUUAUGACCUAAUAUACUUUUAAAAUAUAUACUUACUUGCUAUGUGAACAUU